GUGUUGUAUGAAAGGAGAGAAGGUUAGCACCUUCCCUAAAUAUAUGAAAGUCUUUUAUAUAAAAUUUUGUAGUACUUAGCCAUAAGCUAUUUAAUUGUCCUAUAUAUUUAAAUCCAUUUUG